rnacentral:lncRNA from 1 species
UUGAGUACAGCAUGAUGUGAUCUGACAUAUUGUAGAAGAAUUUUGAAGGCCACACUGUUGGGAAUCAUUGUAUUGAAGCACAGGUGAGUCAUGUAAAGUACUUAGAAGACAACUGCAAUCAUCCAGGCAACAGAUGAUGGAGUGCUCAUACAGGGCUGGCAGAAGGGAAAGUGUUCCAGGCCACGGACAACACAAGGUGCUUGGUGAGCUCUAAAUGGUACCUGCUUUCUGCUGGUAAACAUAAAAUGAAUUUGUGAUGGAAAGAAUUCACCCGUGAAGGCUGCCCGUCUCUGGGAAGAAGGAAGACAGAUUGUUUGUGAUAAGAAUUGCAUCAUCCACAUUGGAACAUCCUGUGUGUGAAGUGAGGGCUCUGAAGCGGGAUGGCCCUCCGCCUACACCGAAAAGAGAACAGACCACAGCCUUACUUACAGCCAGAGGGCUGCCCAGAGAAUUUUGAGGUUCCAGGGGACAAGUAUAUCUCACAGCUGGAAAGAGGAAAGGAUGAAGACAAAAUUUGAACACAAGACUUAAAACAACUAAAUUAUCUCUAAGUAUUCUUAAGUAAUUUGAGUUAUAUUUGUCCUUCCCAAAACAACAAGACUCUAAGCCACCCAAGGGCAAGGGCUGAAGGGUAUCAUCUAUUUAUUCUGAAUCACCUUGAACAUCUUGACAUGGACUCUAUAUGAAACAUCUGUCGAAAAGGCAUUGAUGACUACAUCAAAGGAGAUAGAAAAUCACAGCUCCUUGAAAAUUGUUAUCAUUUUCUUUCAGAAGUGAUCAUUAUCAUUUUUGAGGAUGAAAAUGUAGGGAUUGGUGUCAUAUCUUUUUUAUUCCAGUGGGAACUGUCAAAAGUGUUUUGUUUUUGAUGCUUCUUUCUGAAUGAUUGAGAAAUGCUAAUCAUUUCAAAAAACAGAACAAAGACCAAGGCAUAUAAAGCCUUGAUAGAUUUUAUUUUAUUUUUUUUGAAAAUUCUUAUUUCUGAUGGAAAGGGAAUGAAGGAAAGGAAUAAGGCAAAUCAUGUUUCUCUGUAUGACACUGACAGCAUUAAUGCUGCCAGUUCUUCAUCCUACAGAAAGAAGGUUGUGUGGAUAUUAAUGCUCUCUCUGGAGAUGGGAAUAUGCCUCAUGUUGCUUAAGAUCAAUAUUUACCUUCGCAGACACUGAAGACAGAAUGGACUCUUUAAAAUUGACAUCAAAGUUCCAUUAACAUGUGCUUUCACAAAGAAAUGUCCUACUUUCUAGGCAGCAUUGCAAGUGCAUGGUAUUUCAUAUGUCUAUUGUUUUAGGCACUGAAAGGCCGGAAGAAAAAGGCUUGCUCUUCCAUUGCGCCUCUGCAUUUCAGGGAGCAGAUUCUGUAGAGUGCUCCAAAAUGAUAAUGAAGUCAAUGAUGAAGCAACGGGGACUUUAAGUAGUUAACGUCCCUCUGUAAGUGCCAAAAUCACUGUAUCAGGGAUUUGUCCACACAAGGAAUUCAGCUUUUUAUUUCUUACAAAUAAUGUGCUGCCAUGAAGAGAAACACAAAUACUCAUUCUGAAAUACUCUAUAGCAAAAUCUGCAAAGCUUAACAUCUGCAAAUUUUCUCCUUAACAUCUAUUUUUCAUAUGCUCCAUUGCUCCUUUUUAUUUUUGAAUAAUAAAAAAAUGCAAAAGAAAAUAACAGCAAAUUAAGCAGAGAUCCAGAAUUGGCAUGCAAAAUACCUGGUGUUUUCAACCAACAUUUAUCUUCACCCCAUUGUGGAGAGCUCAAUAAAUGCUAUUUGAAUAUGUUAUCAAUCAUCUAACAUAUUAGCGUGGAGAGAUGAUGCCAAACUGCUUUCACCUUUAAAAUACCUAAUUCUGGAAAGGACACGUGACUGUACAUAAAACAACCUCAUUUUCCCCCAUUAAUUAGACCUGGGCAGAUCAUUUAAUGGCAGGAAAUUAUGAUGGAGUUCAUUUUAUCAUUUAGCAGUUCAAUUAUACAGCAAUUCACAUAUAUAGGCAUAUAUGUGUUACUAUAUAUGCAUAGAUAUAUAUUAUUAACUUAUGUCUUGCCAUUGAACUGAGAAUAAAAUCCAAUGUCCUCACUGUAAAUUCAAAGGUCCUUCAUGAUUGAGCCCUGGUGUAUCUUUCUGACUUCACUUCCGACCACUCUCGUCCUCCCUCCCUGUGUUCCAGCCACACUCACUUUCCUUCUGUUUUUUGAACACAUGCAGCUCAUUCUGCUUAUGCGCUUUGCAGCUGCCUGUUCCACUGCCUAUAACAUCCUCACCUAAUACGGCAUGUAGGACUUUGCUCAAAUAGGUCUCUGCUCUCCCUUGGCCCUCUGUGUAGCAGCAGCACCCUUCUUCAUCACUGUAUCACUACUAGAGCAAUUAUCCAAAAUUAUCUUAUAUAGCCAUAUUCUUUUGUCUGUGCCUACUAAAAUGUAAGCUCCUUGAGAAGUCAAACCUUGUUUCUUUUAUUCACUCUUACUUUCUCAGCACCUAGGAUUUUUUUUUAAUAAAAUGCAUUUUAAUUACUAUAUGUUCUUCAAUAAUGAUUUGGAAUAUAGAGAAAACUCAAGGGAAAAAUCAUUCAUAAUCUUUUCUUUCUACUGUAAGUUCAGUUAAUUCAGAUGUAUUUCCUUCCAGUAUUUUUCCUCUAUUUAAAUUAUAAUGUUUAUUCCAACUCGCAUCUUACUGUUUCUUAAUGCUUAUGUCUGCCUAUGUCAGAAUCAUCCUGACUCAUUUGAGUGCCACAACAAUCCUGUGGAACAGCAAAACCAAGCUAUUAUUAACAAAUUACAAAUAAGGAAACUGAAACUCAUGAAGGCUAAAUGUCUUUCUUGCGCAAUGUCACCCACUCUGAGUCUAGGUUUGGCUCAUCUCUCAACUUUAUUGUCCAGAAUUUCUAUUCAUAAAUGAUCUGCUCAUUUUUCCUCACAAAGCAUGACCUUCUUUAUCACCAUCCCUUCAUUCCAUUGAUACUAAAUCUCUUUUCAGCUACUUAAAUCUUUCCCUUUAUAUCCUGCCUCUUUUGAUAAAUCUGGACAAUCUCAAUUCUCUAUACUUUUUCUCUUAAUAUGUAUUUACAAUUCAGAUCUCUGUCAUCAUUUCACACUUGGCAUAUGAUAUCUAAAUAGCUCAUAAAAAAUUAAUGGAAGUAUUCUGUCUAAUUCAACAUGUAUUUCUUCUUUGCAAUCCCAGUGCCUAUAUCUUCUGAUGUCUGUCCUCAUAGUUCAACUGAAUCAUAUGGAUAAUAAGAACCAUAUUUGGUUCAUCUUGUUUCCUUCCUCCAAACCAUGCCCAUGUGUCUAUACAUACUUAAAAAAUGGAUCAUUCAACAUAUGUUUAUACAGCUCCUUUGUACCAGGCGUUUUUUAAGGUCCUGAGGAUACUGCAAAUAAAUAAAACUAAAAUCUCCCUGUUCUCUUUGCAUUUCCAUUAUGGUAAUUUUACUAAAAAAAAUGGCAUCAAAAUGUAUAAGUGUUAAAAUAAAG